AGUGGCGAACGGGUGAGUAACACGUGAGCAACCUGCCCCUGACUCUGGGAUAAGCGCUGGAAACGGCGUCUAAUACUGGAUAUGUCCCAUCACCGCAUGGUGUGUGGGUGGAAAGAUUUUUCGGUUGGGGAUGGGCUCGCGGCCUAUCAGCUUGUUGGUGAGGUAAUGGCUCACCAAGGCGUCGACGGGUAGCCGGCCUGAGAGGGUGACCGGCCACACUGGGACUGAGACACGGCCCAGACUCCUACGGGAGGCAGCAGUGGGGAAUAUUGCACAAUGGGCGGAAGCCUGAUGCAGCAACGCCGCGUGAGGGAUGACGGCCUUCGGGUUGUAAACCUCUUUUAGCAGGGAAGAAGCGAGAGUGACGGUACCUGCAGAAAAAGCACCGGCUAACUACGUGCCAGCAGCCGCGGUAAUACGUAGGGUGCAAGCGUUAUCCGGAAUUAUUGGGCGUAAAGAGCUCGUAGGCGGUCUGUCGCGUCUGCUGUGAAAUUCCGAGGCUCAACCUCGGGCUUGCAGUGGGUACGGGCAGACUAGAGUGCGGUAGGGGAGAUUGGAAUUCCUGGUGUAGCGGUGGAAUGCGCAGAUAUCAGGAGGAACACCGAUGGCGAAGGCAGAUCUCUGGGCCGUAACUGACGCUGAGGAGCGAAAGGGUGGGGAGCAAACAGGCUUAGAUACCCUGGUAGUCCACCCCGUAAACGUUGGGAACUAGUUGUGGGGUCCUUUCCACGGAUUCCGUGACGCAGCUAACGCAUUAAGUUCCCCGCCUGGGGAGUACGGCCGCAAGGCUAAAACUCAAAGGAAUUGACGGGGACCCGCACAAGCGG
rnacentral:rRNA from 1 species